rnacentral:snRNA from 1 species
AUCGCUUCUCGGCCUUUUGGCUAAGAUCAAGUGUAGUACCUGUUUUUAUCAGUUUAAUAUCUGAUACGUCCUCUAUCCGAGGACAAUAUAUUAAAUGGAUUUUUGGAGCAGGGAGAUGGAAUAGGAGCUUGCUCCGUCCUCCACACAUCGACCUGGUAUUGCAGUACCUCCAGGAACGGUGCACCACCU